rnacentral:snRNA from 1 species
GUCCCUUCGUAGAUAUUCCAUAAAAUUAGAACGAUACAGACAAGAUUAGCAUGGCCCUAGCAAGGAUGCCAUGCACAAAUCAAGAAAUGAUCCAAAUUUUU